rnacentral:lncRNA from 1 species
UCUGCAUAUGGUAUUUCCGCCUUACAAAGAGCCAAACGGAUCACAGAAUCCCAACGCAUUCCCACACCCCCUUCAGGCCACCUCUCCAUCUGGGGCCUCCUGCACCCCCCAGGCCCGAGCACGAGCCGCAUGGACAGUUAGGUGCGGAGCCCCAGGAUUUGCGUGCUCGCCGGCCACUCCGCACACCCCUUCCUUCAACAAGGGGGCCGAGCCUGCCAGGACCCAGGGCGGCUACAGCUGAGCCGUGGGGAGGGUCCCCGAAGACCCUGUCACCCAGCCGGACGACCGUGCAGUUCAGAGCGCCUGAGCAGAAAGGGCUCGCUGGAAACGAUCUGCAGCCCUCAGUGACAGCUGGCAAAGCCCGAGCAAAUGAGGGAGAGGCGACAAAUAAAGGAAAGAGCCAAGUUGUCGUGGUGGUGCAUGCUGUAAUCCCAGCACUAAGGGAGGCUGAAGCAGGAAGAUCUAGGAUGUGAGCCCAACCUGGACAACUUCAAAGAGUGAAGGUCCUGAGCUCAGCCCCAAGUACCAGAAAAACAAAGGAAGCAUCUGCCCCUUGGAACCUGCCAGCAGGGCCUUGAGACCCAAGGGAAGGGAUGGGCCCAAGCUCCCAUCCUGCAUGUGGCCCGGACUUGCAGCCCACCUGCCGCCCACCCCACCCUGGAGCACCAGGACGGAACCCUGGAGUACACAGGAGCAUCCGGAGGAGCCAGAUCUCAGCCCUGGGCCAGGGCCAUGCACCAACAGAAGCGAGAUGUGACGGUCUGUCAGUCCUGCACUAAAAAUCAAUUUUCAAAAACGAACAGCGGAGGAAGCCCAAGCCUCAGGUGGGGACCCUGCUGUGUCUCCCGUGGCCAGCUGAGACGCCCACCCCUCCACUGCCUGGUCCUCCCAGACCCCAGGCCCUGGUGGCUCCUCCCCUCCUCCCUGGGCCAGGG